rnacentral:tRNA from 1 species
GCGGAUGUGGCGGAAUUGGUAGACGCCCCGGAUUUAGGUUCCGGUGCCGAAAGGCGUGGGGGUUCGAGUCCCUUCAUCCGCA